rnacentral:tRNA from 3 species
GCUCACGUGGCCCAGUGGCUAGGGCAGCUCCCUGUCGAGGAGACGAUCGCGGGUUCGAGUCCCGUCGUGAGCG